rnacentral:lncRNA from 10 species
AUUAUAAGGCGGAGCUCGGCGGGAGAGGUGCGGGCCGAAUCCGAGCCGAGCGGAGAGGAAUCCGGCAGUAGAGAGCGGACUCCAGCCGGCGGACCCUGCAGCCCUCGCCUGGGACAGCGGCGCGCUGGGCAGGCGCCCAAGAGAGCAUCGAGCAGCGGAACCCGCGAAGCCGGCCCGCAGCCGCGACCCGCGCAGCCUGCCGCUCUCCCGCCGCCGGUCCGGGCAGCAUGAGGCGCGCGGCGCUCUGGCUCUGGCUGUGCGCGCUGGCGCUGAGCCUGCAGCCGGCCCUGCCGAGUCUGUCUCAUGGGAGAUGAGGUAGGGACAGUCGUUUCUGAGACCGAUGUGUAAAGCGCCCUCCCUGCUUCCCAGCAAAUUGUGGCUACUAAUUUGCCCCCUGAAGAUCAAGAUGGCUCUGGGGAUGACUCUGACAACUUCUCCGGCUCAGGUGCAGGUGCUUUGCAAGAUAUCACCUUGUCACAGCAGACCCCCUCCACUUGGAAGGACACGCAGCUCCUGACGGCUAUUCCCACGUCUCCAGAACCCACCGGCCUGGAGGCUACAGCUGCCUCCACCUCCACCCUGCCGGCUGGA